GUUAUUGUAGCUAAUUUCACACAGGUGAGUUACAUUCAAUUCCUGCUGCGAGUCACAGGCACGCCUUUACAACUCGGGGCCACUUGUUUUCUGUAUGAGAAGUAGUGCUGCAGCACGAUGCCAGGCAAGGCAGCAGACGCGUUCCAACCUGGGGACUUGGUCUUCGCCAAGAUGAGGGGCUUCCCCCAUUGGCCGGCCAGGGAGGGGAAGAUGGUCGAGACAGACGAUAGUGUCUGUGUUUCUCCUACAGAUAGAUAGAUGGUGUCUGUGUUUCUCCUACAUAUAGAUAGAUGGUGUCUGUGUUUCUCCUACAUAUAGAUAGAUGGUGUCUGUGUUUCUCCUACAGAUAGAUAGAUGGUGUCUGUGUUUCUCCUACAGAUAGAUAGUGUCUGUGUUUCUCCUACAGAUAGAUAGAUGGUGUCUGUGUUUCUCCUACAGAUAGAUAGAUGGUGUCUGUGUUUCUCCUACAGAUAGAUAGAUGGUGUCUGUGUUUCUCCUACAGAUAGAUAGAUGGUGUCUGUGUUUC